rnacentral:rRNA from 1 species
AUUGAACGCUGGCGGCAUGCCUUACACAUGCAAGUCGAACGGCAGCACGGGAGCAAUCCUGCUGACGAGUGGCGAACGGGUGAGUAAUACAUCGGAACGUGCCCGAUCGUGGGGGAUAACGCAGCGAAAGCUGUGCUAAUACCGCAUACGAUCUACGGAUGAAAGCGGGGGAUCGCAAGACCUCGCGCGGACGGAGCGGCCGAUGGCAGAUUAGGUAGUUGGUGGGAUAAAAGCUUACCAAGCCGACGAUCUGUAGCUGGUCUGAGAGGACGACCAGCCACACUGGGACUGAGACACGGCCCAGACUCCUACGGGAGGCAGCAGUGGGGAAUUUUGGACAAUGGGGGAAACCCUGACCCAGCAACGCCGCGUGAAGGAAGAAGGCUUCGGGUUGUAAACUUCUUUACCUAGGGACGAAGGACGUGACGGUACCUAGGAGAAAAGCCAACGGCUAACUACGUG